rnacentral:lncRNA from 1 species
CGGAAACAUGGAUUACCACAGAUAACACUGCUACUCCUACUGCUCUCUCCUCGUCUGACUACGUGUUCUCGCAUACCCCUAGAGCAUCGAGCCAGCGGGGUGGUGGCACUGGAAUCCUCAUCUCUCCCAAGUGGACAUUCUCUCUUUCUCCCCUGACCCAUCUGUCUAUCUCCUCAUUUGAAUUCCAUGCUGUCACAGUUACCAGCCCUUUCAAGCUUAACAUCCUUAUCAUUUAUCGCCCUCCAGGUUCCCUUGGAGAGUUCAUCAAUGAGCUUGACGCCUUGAUAAGUUCCUUUCCUGAGGAUGGCUCACCUCUCACAGUUCUGGACCAUUUCCGGAGACCUUCUCCCCUACCUCACCUCGCUCAUCAACGCAUCCUUGACCGCUGGCUACGUCCCUUCCGUCUUCAAGAGCGCGAGAGUUGCACCCCUUCUGAAAAUACCUACACUCGAUCCCUCCG